UCUGAGUCAGGAGCACAGGCUUCCAGGACAGGCUUCAUAGGUUGGACUUCCGGUUCACCAUCUGUUUGCAGUGUGACCUUGGACAAUGCCUCGGAGCUUUACAUAGAAAACGAAGAGAUGUAAAAAUAGCAACAACUUGAGGGGAUAAUAGUGAAGAUUAAUAGAAAUCUAAUUCAGAAGACAUCACGUGUGUGCCCCUUGUCAUCGUAAUUCCUUCCUUCUAUGGGAUCUAGAGCAGCCAAGAGUGACUGAUCAUGAAGGAGCUGCUACUCGGUAUUGGAAUUGAUGACCUCACCUGCCCAGGUCCCUCUACCUCUGCUCUACUUGUCUUGACUCUGCACCAGGGGAAGGAACCCACCCCACCUCUCCCACCUCUCCAACCAAGGACAUGAAGCAUCUCCUUCAAAGGUCCUCCCUAGGAGAAGAAGCUGUUCUGACGAACUUCCUAUUCUGUAUUGGAGUUGGGAGACCUUUCCAGAACAUGGACUUGUUUCAUACGCGAAUUGAUUCUCAGAAUGAUUUCUAAAGGAGUAAAAUGGCUAGAAAUAGAGUGUCUGAAGGUUACGGUUGCCAACGGCACCUUCCCUCUGGCAUUUCAUCAGAAGACUGACAGCUCAAGAGAAAAAUAACUGCAGAAAACAGUUGAAAGUUCCAAAUGGCUGUAACUAUGAAGACUAAAAUGUGCCCAAUGCUUUGAAAGCAGCUUAUUAAUUUUAGAGGUACAUUAAAACAUUUUGGUUUGAAU